ACUCAAAUGAAUAGACGGGGGCCCGCACAAGCGGAGGAGCAUGUGGUUUAAUUCGAUGAUACGCGAGGAACCUUACCAGGGCUUGAAAGUUAGUGAAUGAUGUGGAAACAUGUCAGCCAGCAAUGGCACAAAACUAGGUGCUGCAUGGCUGUCGUCAGCUCGUGCCGUGAGGUGUUAGGUUAAGUCCUGUAACGAGCGCAACCCCUAUCAUUAGUUGCCAGCGGGUAAUGCCGGGGACUCUAAUGAGACUGCCCGCGCAAGCGGUGAGGAAGGUGGGGAUGACGUCAAGUCAUCACGGCCCUUACGUCCUGGGCUACACACGUGCUACAAUGGGUGGUACAGAGGGCUGCUACACAGUAAUGUGAUGCUAAUCUCCAAAACCAUCCUCAGUUCGGAUUGAGGUCUGCAACUCGACCUCAUGAAGCUGGAUUCGCUAGUAAUCGCAGAUCAGCAAUGCUGCGGUGAAUACGUUCCCGGGCCUUGUACACACCGCCCGU
rnacentral:rRNA from 1 species